GCGGGCGGGCACGUGGGGCUUUUUCGUCCCCGGCGUCCGGUCGCGCUGCAUCGACCCCCACCCCGGCCCCUGCCCCCCGGCGGCGGCCGGUGGGCAGAAAGACCGAAACCCACUCAUGGCCGCCUCUGGAAUCGCGGCUCUGCUGUUUGCGGGGCGUGCUAGAAACGUGGUCCUUGAAAGAAUGGCGUCCAUUUACAUAAUGCUUUGUUUGCGUUUCGCAAGUUUUUUUCGGUUAAAGCCACAGAAACCCCACCUCCUGCCCUUGUGUCGUUUCCACCGCGGCACCCUUUUCCGACAUUAGAAACAAUAGUGUGCGCCUGUGGAGGCCUUGUUUAUUCAGAGGCUGCCGGCCAGGGCUUCAGGACGUUUCUGCGGCUUUUACUGCGCGGCCUGGGCUCCCGCGGCUGCCUUUCGGGCCCAUGGGCGCAGCCACCGCACCCGACUCUCCGGGGGCGGCCCCGUCAGGGCCCGCCAUCUUGGAAGGCCUUUUUUGCAGGUUCCUCCCGCUGAGGAAGUGUCGUUUAAGACGCUGGCAUACGAGUUGUGAUUUCUGCCCUUUCCCCUUCCUCCCUGGGCUAAGCCAGACCAGAAAGGGCCCCGUGCGCAACGUGCUUCAGAAUGCCUCAGGGAAAGCGGCUAACGUGGCGCUACUCCGCCUCCCCUGUUCCUUCCCCGUGGGGCGGCCGCCAUGUUGCCCGAACACAAAAUGGCGACACGUGGCUAGCAUCCGUCGUCAACGAGAAAUUGGGGUUGGCCCGAAAGCUCUAGAAUGUACCCCCGUUCCUCCCUGGGGCCUUUCCCGCCCCGCGAGUUUUAUGACCUAGAAAACCCCACAGGCUGGUCUGAAGGUCGGAAGCCUAAUUUUAACGCGUUUUCCUUCCUUUAAUUUGAAACGGGAACGCGAAUAACUAAAAUGUAGGCACAAUAUUUAAUCUCUCGCCUUUUGAAAGCUUAACGAUGAAUAAUAGGGGGCAGUAUCAAGGGAUAAUUUGGGUCCCCACAGUACCAAAGCAUUUAGAAACCUGCUUAAUUCAAGGAAGGGGAUAAAUAACUGCUCUUCUAGACUGCCUAGCAUGGGCCGUUGUGCUGGAGAGAACGAGAAAUACGAAGAGACCAGAAUGCCUCUGACUUUUUCAUAGGACGGUUGGCCGGUGAAUCUUACUAAUAGUUUACCACAAUUCAGUGUUCACUCUUAGUCUAGAAGGGACAGGCGUUUACUGUGCAUUGGCCAGUGCCAGCACAUCCGAUGCAAGGCAUUUCACCGUAUUCUAUCUUUAAUUUUUACCAUGAUCCUCUGAGGUAGGUGUUCUUAUCUCUCUCUCUUUUUUAAACAGAGGAAGACACUUAAAGAUGAAGUGCCUAAUUCAAGGUCAUACAAUGUCGGGGAUGGACCUCCAGAUUUCCUUACUGACCUGCAUUAUCUUGUGGAUACCUGAGUGAAUUACACACCACCCAUUUUAUAGAUGAAGCCACUGACACAUGGAGCAACUGACUGAGUAGUCGCUGCCCCACCCCUGGAGCUUCACACAUGACUCGUCUCCUCUCACUCAGUGACCACAGGUGAGACAUGGUCUUGUAACACAGUAGUUAAGAAUGUGACUUUGGAGCCAGCCUGCUAAGGGAUGAAUUCUGACUCAGCCAUUUACUAACUGGGUGACCUUAGCGGGGUUCCCAAGCCUGUAAAAUGUAAGCCUCAUGCUGCUGCGGGCCAUCUUGCCACCCCGAGGGGAACGCUGCCUGAGAAUGAAACCAACAUAGGUGAAAGAACUAUCAGGAAAUGGUGUGAGGAGGGGAGCCACAUAUGAAUUUCGGCUUUAUAAAGGGAUAUGGAGAGCACAGCGGUUAGAAGUCAGGCUGGUCAUGAGCUGGUCCUGCCCUUCACUAGCCAUGGAACUUUCUAUGCCUCAGUUUCAACAACUGUAAAAUGGGAGUAGAAGACAGCUCCUGCCUCAUAGGGUUGUCAUGAAGAUUACAUGAGGCAGUGCACGUCGCACAGUUUUCCACACUCCUUGAUGGAGGUGCUUAAACCCUAUCCAUCAGCAUUCUUGGACAGCAUCUCCAGUUAGGGACAGUAUCUGACCGUCUGACAUCCCUGCACCCCCCAUACUGUCAGCCUCAGGUGGAUGGUUUCCUUAGAUGGUAGCUUUCUUUGGACCCUUGAUAUCAACCAGUUACUAUUUGGUAAGAACUUAAGUCAUUCCAGUGCCUCCCUCAGAAGCAUUUGCAUUUAGAAUUUCAGGUGUCAUAGAAAUAAUGAAAGAUGUUGCAUUCCUGAGGGAAUGAAUAAAUUAUUUAUUUCCUUGUUCUAGAACAUCAUUGCCCACUAGAAUUUUCCGUGAUGAUAGUAAUGUUCUCUGUGCUGUUCCAUGUAGUAACUGCUGGCCACGUGUGGCUAUUGAACAUUUGAGAUGUGUCCAGUGUGACUGAAGAACUGGAUUUUUUCAUUUUAAUGAAUUAAAAUUGAUUUUUUUUAAAGACAAGG